rnacentral:rRNA from 1 species
GCAAGUCGAACGGAGGCCCUAGCUUGCUAGGUGUCCUUAGUGGCGGACGGGUAAGUAACGCGUGGGAACCUGCCCUGGAGUGGGGAACAACCUUUGGAAACGAAGGCUAAUACCGCAUACGCUCUACGGAGGAAAGGCUUCGGCCGCUCUUGGAUGGUCCCGCGUCUGAUUAGCUUGUUGGUGGGGUAAUGGCCUACCAAGGCGACGAUCAGUAGCUGGUCUGAGAGGAUGAUC